UCGCCUCCCGAGGGUCCGCCAUCGCCUCCAUCGCCUCCCGAGGGACCGCCGCCGCCAUCGCCUCCCGAGGGUCCGGCACUGCUAUUACCUCCCAAAGGAAAUGGCGUUGCGGUGACGUCAAGCCAGGAGGAGGAACAGAAACAAACCACUGCAGAAAGGUGCUCCAGUGGAGAUGUGCCAGUGGCUUGCAACAUGGCAGAGCAGGUGCUCCAAAUAUUCCUGCUGGCUCCGCUGUGUCAGCUCCCAUCCACGUCUCCAUCUGCCAAACAAAACAACAAAACACAACUCAGCGCAAGGGGCCAUACCCAUGCAGGUACAGGAGGUAUAUUUGCAGCUCAGAUUCCUUCUUUCCUGUUCACAGGAUCCCAAUGAUUUGUUUUAUGCAAAUGGAAUCCUUGAUACGUGUAUAGUAAUAUAUAAAAAUAGCAGUUCCCUACUGCAAGCCAAUGGCAAUGGUUACGACAGCAGAGCUGACAAGACUUCAAUACAGGGCUGAUAGCAGACUUAAUUAGCAGGUGCCCUGUUCCAAAGACUGCACAGGUUACUGAUACAGUAUUUUGCAAGGAACCAUCUGAAAAGUGAUCACUAUGGGCAAUUCUGGAGAACAGACUGAAGGAAUUCACCGAAGAGGGUACUUGUUGGGUGAUGAUCACAUCCAGAACAAUUAAACCUCUUUCAGAAUUCUCACAGACUUGAAUCGUAUAUAGAAAUAGGCCUGCCAUUUGAAUAUGUUAACCAUUUAAUUUACUAUAGGUUGUCCAAAAUGUAAAUACUUUCUGCCCUCUCAAUUUGCAUUUGUUAUGUGUUUUAUUUAGUUAUGUAUGUUCUUAUUCAUCAUUUAUUGCAGUUUCUGCACUCAGGGAUAUUUGGUAUGCUUUAUGAAGUCGCCAUUACAUUUCACCUUUAGGGCUGUCUGUGAGCAAGUCUGAGCAACAUGUAAUUUCUAUAAUGAUGCCAGUAUAAAAAUAACCAUGGACUGCAUGCUCAGUUCAGUUAUUUGUUCUAGGGCCAGAUCUGCCCCGCAGACAGAAUAACAUGUUUCCAAUCUGAUUGGUUUACUAUGGAAAGGAGGUGGGGUUUUGUUUCAAUGACAUUUCUCCAAUUGAUUGGUUUACAUUUGGAGGCAGGGUUAUUUUUUACUUUUGGCUGUUUAUUAUAUUAACUUACAAACUUUUAGAUUUAAAAAGCUUUAUAAGAGGUGUUCCUUAAAACAAAACAAAAUAAAAAAAGAGAAAAUAAGGGGUAUUCUGUGCUUAUUUGCUUAAACUUGCAAAGUUUUACUUACUAUUUUAACAAAACAUGCAUACAUACUUUUAUAGUAUUAAGUAAUCUUAUUUGUAAGAUUUUUUUUUUCUUCGUUUUCUGGGUUUUUCCUUUAUUUAAUAAAUAAUUUAUUUAAGCUUCUCUCUUAUUAAUUCAGUAGCAUUUCCAACAUGCAGUCCCAACUGUAUUAAUAAGGAAGGCAUUGUUUGAGUGUUUUACUUAAUUUAGAUUAGUAAUAGAGGAUGCCAUGUUUUUCUACAGAAUAUUCUUAUUUUGACUAUUAUUCAAAGAGCUAUGUUUCAAAAUUUCAUCCUACAUUUUCACAAUGUAAUACUGUUUUGCUAUUAUUUACUGCAUAACCAAAAAAUACAGAUAUAGAUGUGUUUGCAAGAAUGAAGUUCACAGAAGCGGUCAUUCAUAGUCAUUCAGUUUAACAAUAAUAUUAUAUGGGCCUGUGACAGAGAUCGAAUGAUGCUUGGUGUUAGAUCUCCCUCCCG